rnacentral:lncRNA from 1 species
UUUAAAGGAAGUAUUGUGGUUGUUGUUUGAGGUGACUAUGAAGUGUGAGGAAUGGAGUUCGUAUGGUGUGAAAAGGUGUAUGUUUGUGGAAGUGAGGGCUAUGGUUUAGUAUGGUAGUAUGAGUAAAGAAAAUGAAAGGGUGGUUGAAGGAGAGGAAGAAAGAAUGGUCUUUGUUGUUGUGUGGGGAAGCCGCCGACAGAUCCGUUGGUCUGGUUGAAACUCUCCCCUCUCCUC